rnacentral:rRNA from 1 species
CAGUAGCCGCGGGAAUACGGAGGAUCCAAGCGUUAUCCGGAUUUAUUGGGUUUAAAGGGUGCGUAGGUGGCCUGUUAAGUCAGGGGUGAAAGACGGUAGCUCAACUAUCGCAGUGCCUUUGAUACUGACGGGCUUGAAUGAACUAGAGGUAGGCGGAAUGUGACAAGUAGCGGUGAAAUGCAUAGAUAUGUCACAGAACACCAAUUGCGAAGGCAGCUUACUAUGGUUUUAUUGACACUGAGGCACGAAAGCGUGGGGAUCAAACAGGAUUAGAUACCCCGGUAGUCCCUGUCUCUUAUAU